rnacentral:rRNA from 1 species
GAUGAACGCUGGCGGCGUGCCUAACACAUGCAAGUCGAACGGGAAGCUUGACUUCGGUCGAGCGGAGAGUGGCGCACGGGUGAGUAACACGUAGCUGAUCUGCCUCAGAGAGUGGGAUAACGCACCGAAAGGUGUGCUAAUACCGCAUAAGCUCCCGGACUUUAGAGGUCUGAGAGAAAAGGCUCCGGCGCUCUGAGAUGAGGCUGCGGCCCAUCAGCUAGUUGGUAAGGUAACGGCUUACCAAGGCGACGACGGGUAGGGGACCUGAGAGGGUGGCCCCCCACACUGGGACUGAGACACGGCCCAGACUCCUACGGGAGGCAGCAGUGAGGAAUAUUGGUCAAUGGACGCAAGUCUGAACCAGCGACGCCGCGUGGGCGAUGAAGGUCUUCGGAUUGUAAAGCCCUUUUCUUGGUGAAGAGGAAGGACGGUAGCCAAGGAAUAAGUGUCGGCUAACUACGUGCCAGCAGCCGCGGUAAAACGUAGGACGCAAGCGUUAUCCGGAAUUACUGGGCGUAAAGCGCGCGCAGGCGGGUUAGCAAGUCAUUCGUGAAAGCUCCUGGCUAAACUGGGAGAGGUCGGAUGAUACUGUUAGCCUGGAGGGUGGUAGAGGCGUAUGGAAUUCCGCGUGUAGUGGUGAAAUGCGUAGAGAUGCGGAGGAACACCAGUGGCGAAGGCGGUACGCUGGGCCAUACCUGACGCUGAGGCGCGAAAGCAUGGGUAGCGAACGGGAUUAGAAACCCCGGUAGUCCAUGCCGUAAACGAUGUGUACUAGAUGUUCGAGCACCUACGGGUGAUUGAGUGUCGAAGCAAACGCGAUAAGUACACCGCCUGGGGAGUACGGUCGCAAGGCUAAAACUCAAAGGAAUUGACGGGGGCCCGCACAAGCAGCGGAGCGUGUGGUUUAAUUCGAGGCUACGCGAAGAACCUUACCUGGGUUUGACAUCAUAGUGAACAAAGGUGAAAGCCGGAGGUCCCUUCGGGGCACUAUGACAGGUGCUGCAUGGCUGUCGUCAGCUCGUGUCGUGAGAUGUUCGGUUAAGUCCGAAAACGAGCGCAACCCUCAGGUUUAGUUACAAGUGUCUAAACCGACUGCCUGCGACAAGCAGGAGGAAGGUGGGGAUGAUGUCAAGUCAGCAUGGCCUUUAUAUCCAGGGCUACACACACGCUACAAUGGCGCGUACAGUGGGUCGCGAAGCCGCGAGGUGGAGCCAAUCCUAAAAAGCGCGUCGUAGUUCGGAUUGCAGGCUGCAACUCGCCUGCAUGAAGUCGGAGUUGCUAGUAACCGCAGAUCAGCACGCUGCGGUGAAUACGUUCCCGGGCCUUGUACACACCGCCCGUCACGUCAUGGGAGCUGGUCACGCCUGAAGUCGGGAAGCUAACCUUACGGAGGCUACCGCCGAAGGCAGGGCCGGUGACUGGGACGAAGUCGUAACAAGGUAGCUGUAGCGGAAGC